GUUGAAUGCACAUGAUGUACCUUUACCUAUCAGGACAGAAAGCUUUAAUCCUUUCUUGUAAAGUGACAUAGCUGAUUUUAAAAAACUUUUGCCUAAAAAAAAAUUGUGAUUACUGGUUUGGGCCUAAAUCUACCAUAUUACUAAAUGCUUUUUGACUGUCAUAUCUGUUUUAUUUCCUUGUUUCCUUCUGGGUUAUCAUUUAUCAGUUUAGUUUUCCUUUUGCUGGCUGGAAAGGCACAUCGUCCCCACACUUACAUGCUCUUCCUGCAUGUCAAGUUACGGUGCACGGGGAUCUCUACCUGCUCCCAGUUAACACAAGACCCUUCUACUCCAUUCACCCCACUCCCAACUGGCAUACCACUGAAGUCUUGAACUUUAGUUCCCUCUGUAUUUCUAGCUCCAGAGGACAUUUUCAGGGUUUUACACAGCCAUUAUUCAUUUAGGUUGAUCCAUGCCACUUUUUUUUUUUAACUAUAUAUUCCUUUGUGCCUCAGUGUUAUUUAAACACAACCUGGUUAUGCUCCUAUGCACGCUGUGGUAGGAACUACUGGCCUGGGCUUCAGUCUGAGUUUCCCUGCCCAUGGCCUGGCUCAUCCCUUAGCACACCUUUCCGUCUACUCUGGAUGAGUGUCUGACUGCAUGAGUCAGACCUCUCCGAGACUCCUCCUGCUCAAUGGGUUAGGUUUAUGAACUCCUUGUCUGUUCCCUGCCUCCUUCUAAACCCCCACCCUCACUCACAUCCUGCCCCCCACGUUUCCCUGAUCCUCUGUUCACACUGAGCUGCUUCCCUGGGUGCCCAGGUCACCUUCUUCCCCUCCUACGUCUGAAGCUGCUUCAGUCCUUCAAGGCCAGUCACCUCGGUGCUUUCCUGUGCUCCCUGGGCAGGAGCCUUUCUUCAAGAGGCUGCUCCACAGAGGCCUCAUCAGUUUGUGCCUGUAUUUCCUGGCCAAAUAGGAAAACAGGACUUAGAACAAUUCAUCUUCCAGAUGGGGGUAGUAAUCUUCCAUGUGAUGCUUGGAACCUGGAAUCAGAAUCUGUGUGAAAGAACUUAAAAAUUCAGUUCUUGGUCAGAAGAUUAGUGGUUGGCAGUCAAAGACAAUUAUGUUUCAAAUGCUCUAUAAAAAAAAUAAUAAAACAGGUCUAGCUUUAUUUUAUUCCCUGAAAUUUAUUGCUUCAAGCCAGUGGAUAAUACCUCACUCUACAACCUUGGAGAACUAAUAUGCUUUGUGAGAAGCUGAGCUUCAUCCAGGCAGACCUCACUGUGUUGUGCAGGUGUGUGUUCUUUACACACUGAAGGCAUGUGGCAGCCCUUCAUCAAGCAGGUGUGUCAGUGCCAUUUUCCCACAGCAUUUGCUCACUUUGUGUCUCUGUCACGUUUUGGUAAUUCUCACAGUGUUUCAAACUUCUUCAUUAUUAUAUUUGUUACGGUGAUCUGUGAUCAGCGAUCUUAAUGUUACUACCACACUUGCUGAGGGCUCGGGAUGGUUAGCAUUUUUUAGCAAUUGAGUAUUAACUAAGGUAUGUAUAUUGGUUUUCUUAGAUAUAAGCUAUUGCACACUUCACAAGAAUACUGCACAGUAUAAAUAUAACUUUUGCAUGCACUCCAAAAACAGUUCAUGUGACUUACUUUAUUUCAAUACUCACUAUAUGGGAUGGGUGGUCUGGAUCUGAGCCUGCACUGUCUCUGAGGUCUGCCUGUACUGUAGUUGUUUAAACAAUAUUUUUUCUUUGCCAUGCAACUCUUCUAAAGUAGAAUCUUACAGGGAGUCGCAGAUAGAUGAAGCAAAUACAGGACUCGCACUGUGGGCGUGCACAUGUGGUGAGCCUCCUUCACAGCACAGUCACCAGCAGCACAAGGCGCCAGCCCUUCUGUUCAGCUCAGGGUCUGAGUCAUUCACCUUCUUGAAAUCUGAACUAAAUCAAACACCGUUGAAGAUGUGUGUCACAGUCAGCUUUGUAUCUGUGAUUCAGCUGAGUGUGGACGGCGCAGUCUUGUGGACUUACAGGUACUGAAAUCCUGAGAUUUCUACCCUGUGUUCUCCCUUCUACUUAAUUCCCUGAGUCGGAUGAGGACUUGGAGACCUCCAAGAGCAAGAAGCCUUCCAGUGAUUCAAGCAGCAUAGAAAGCGUGAUAAUAAAUCAUUAUCAAGUGGUCUUUCACGGUGUGGGAGAUUCUCCCAUCAUCCUGGACAGAUAAAGAGUGUGAAAACCUGACUGACAUUUGACUGCUGAGGCAUCUGUUUCAGAGGUCCAUUAGAACAAACAGCCAGCACCUGAGGACACAGCUGCUGGCUGC